AGGGAGCUCACUACAUACAGAUUAUACAGCCACCACUAUAGGGAGCUCACUACAUACAGAUUAUACAGCCACCACUAGAGGGAGAUCACUACAUACAGAUUAUACAGCCACCACUAUAGGGAGCUCACUACAUACAGAUUAUACAGCCACCACUAGAG